CCUACGGGAGGCAGCAGUGAGGAAUAUUGGUCAAUGGGCGCGAGCCUGAACCAGCCAAGUAGCGUGAAGGAUGACUGCCCUACGGGUUGUAAACUUCUUUUAUAAAGGAAUAAAGUGAGGCACGAGUGCCUUUUUGUAUGUACUUUAUGAAUAAGGAUCGGCUAACACCGUGCCAGAAGCCGCGGUAAUACGGAGGAUCCGAGCGUUAUCCGGAUUUAUUGGGUUUAAAGGGAGCGUAGAUGGGUUGUUAAGUCAGUUGUGAAAGUUUGCGGCUCAACCGUAAGAUUGCAAUUGAUACUGGCAGCCUUGAGUACAGUUGAGGUAGGCGGAAUUCGUGGUGUAGCGGUGAAAUGCUUAGAUAUCACGAAGAACUCCGAUUGCGAAGGCAGCCUACUAAACUGCCACUGACAUUGAUGCUCGAAAGUGUGGGGAUCAAACAGGAUUAGAUACCCGAGUAGUC
rnacentral:rRNA from 1 species